rnacentral:rRNA from 1 species
AUUGAACGCUGGCGGAAUGCUUUACACAUGCAAGUCGAACGGCAGCACGGACUUCGGUCUGGUGGCGAGUGGCGAACGGGUGAGUAAUAUAUCGGAACGUGCCCAGUCGUGGGGGAUAACGUAGUGAAAAUUACGCUAAUACCGCAUACGAUCUAUGGAUGAAAGCGGGGGACCUUUGGGCCUCGCGCGAUUGGAGCGGCCGAUAUCAGAUUAGGUAGUUGGUGGGGUAAAGGCUCACCAAGCCAACGAUCUGUAGCUGGUCUGAGAGGACGAGCAGCCACACUGGGACUGAGACACGGCCCAGACUCCUACGGGAGGCAGCAGUGGGGAAUUUUGGACAAUGGACGCAAGUCUGAUCCAGCCAUUCCGCGUGCAGGACGAAGGCCUUCGGGUUGUAAACUGCUUUUGUACAGAACGAAAAGGUUUCUACUAAUACUAGGAGCUCAUGACGGUACCGUAAGAAUAAGCACCGGCUAACUACGUGCCAGCCGCCGCAGUAA